UGUGGUUGUGAGAAUUGCAGGAUAUAAAGCCUGUAAAGUGCCUUUUGUCAUGUCCGAGACCACAAAAAGUGCACAGUAAAUGUCAAUUUCCUGUCCUUAACCCCAAAUAGGGAAGUCAAAGUUGUAAGAGCUGAGUGAAAGAAUGUCCUGUUAGUGGAAAUCUUAGCAGAAGGGCACGAUGAGAAAAGAGAUAACAGCAUGAGGUCUUUAGCUGUUAGUGAAGCUGAGAAGUGUGCCAGAUGCCACCUCACUGAAACCCUGAGAGUGUAUGCCAGCAGGGCCUUCCUUUUAGCAAAGAUCAGCAGCUUGGACUGGUAACACCUCUUAAUAUCUGGCAGAAAGAUGGUGACAAGUGCUGGAGCAGGCAGAAAUUUGAAUGUCCAGAUGUGGAGCUGUUUCAACUCUGAGGGCCACUGACCCCUGGGAGAAAAUAGCAGGAUAUAGCAUGAGUAUGUUAUUUGUGUUGGGGUCUACAGUUUCCGCAUCAUUAUUGACUUACCAUUGUGUGUCAAUGCCAGGAAAUCUGCCACCCACCCCAAUCACCUUUGAAUGUGUUUGUGUAAAUGCACACAGAUCACCCAGAGCUGAGAAACUGCUUGUCAGACUGCUCUCGUCUGAGGACAAACAGACAGAAAUGGCAUCCAUUGCCUUACUGGAUUUUAAUAUAUUUUGGAGCAAGGAUGUGAUGAAGUUAGGCCCUUGUUUCCUGAGGAUUGGGCUUCCAUGAAUUGGUGAAUAUCUUGGAAAUGAUCAUGAUGGAGAAUGCACUGAUGUGGACUGCUUUCCAUCAAUGGAAAGUGUUUUUAAAGCAAUUUUUCUUUUACAAAUAAGACUGAGUUUUAUAUCACAUUUUAGGAAAAAUUGAAGAAUUUGAUCUCCAUGGGAUCAGAUUCCAGAAUGAACUACAGGUUGAACUGAUAUCUUUAAUAAUGAUAAAGUUAUUGUGUAGGUACAAAAGUUCAGUCAGCAAUGGCAAAGAUGGCAAAGACAGCAGUAACUCAAUUCAAUUCAAUUCUGACUCUACUGGGAGUUAGAUCAGACUCCACAGGCUAAGGGUCAUCCUCCACAAGAUCGCCUCCAGACACCAGUCACAAGUUCAGGGUCCAAGGCUGCCUGGAUUUCUGACCACUGGCUGAAAGUUUGGGAGUCCCCACUAGCCCCUUGGGUUUGAAAAUUUGCGAAAACAAAUCACAGAACUCACUGAAAGUGCUAUAUUUAUAAUUA